rnacentral:rRNA from 1 species
UACGGAGGGUGCAAGCGUUGUUCGGAAUUACUGGGCGUAAAGCGCGUGUAGGCGGCCUUUUAAGUCUGAUGUGAAAGCCCGAGGCUCACCCUCGGAAGUGCAUUGGAUACUGGGAGGCUGGAGUACCGGAGAGGAGGGUGGAAUUCCUGGUGUAGCGGUGAAAUGCGUAGAUAUCCAUGGGAACGCCAGUGGCGAAAGCGGCUUGCUGGGCCCGUCCUGACGCUGAGACCCGAAAGCGUGGGUAGCAAACAGGAUUAGAUACCCCCGUA